rnacentral:rRNA from 1 species
ACGGGAGGCAGCAGUAGGGAAUUUUCGGCAAUGGGCGAAAGCCUGACCGAGCAACGCCGCGUGAACGAUUAAAUAUUUCGGUAUGUAAAGUUCUUUUAUUUGUGAAGAAAAAGCAAUUAUUGACGGUAGCAAAUGAAUAAGCCCCGGCUAACUACGUGCCAGCAGCCGCGGUAAUACGUAGGGGGCAAGCGUUAUCCGGAAUUAUUGGGCGUAAAGGGUGCGUAGGCGGGUUGAUAAGUCUUUAGUGAAAAUGCGGUGCUCAACGCCGUAUGGCUAAGGAAACUGUCAAUCUAGAGUAUGGUAGAGGUGAGUGGAAUUCCAUGUGUAGCGGUAAAAUGCGUAAAUAUAUGGAGGAACACCAGUGGCGAAGGCGGCUCACUAGACCGAGACUGACGCUGAGGCACGAAAGCGUGGGGAGCAAACAGGAUUAGAUACCCUGGUA